CGGCUUCGUUUGUUGAAUGCACAAAUUUAUAACUAAGUAUUUUUAUUUGGUUUUGUUUCGACUGCAGCGCGGCGUCGUCGUCGUCAUCGGAUUCAGGCAAUUCUCACAGUUGCCUUUUUUUUGUGUCUUUGUCUACCUGUUGGCAUUGCAGGAAGCAUUCACCUUCUCCAGCCAGCCAGACAGACAGACGGACGAGGAGACAGCACGCAGCCAGACAAUGACGAUAAUGACAUAAAAAACAAAGUAAAACAAACGGCACAGACAACAACAACAGUCCGUCUGUCAGUUUGCCAGUCUAUCAGUCAGUCAGUCAGUCAAACACAAAAAAAAGGAACACUCUGUUCCACACACACAUGUGUUUUGUUUCAUGUCUCAGUCGCAGUCUGAGUUUCGGUGUCUGCCACUGGCACUUGACGUGGUCGCCGCCUCAAGCCCCAACCACAGCUCCAACUGAGUCUGAGUCUGCCUCCGUCUCCAUCUCCAACUGGAUUCAAACCGCGGACUCAUCAUCGGCCUGCGGCUUUUGUGCUGGGUUAAUUACUAAGCGAGUCACACGCGCUUGAAUAAUUCAAGGCUAUCGCAUGCAGUUCUCGAUGUUCAUUUCUAUUGCACAGCUGCAACUUUGCAACUUGCCACUUUUUUCUCUCUUUUUCUUUUAUUUUUGCAGUACUUAUUAUAAAGCCAAACAUCAUUCGCGCUGUGUUCGCUGUAACAUAAUCUGGCUGAAAUCGUCGAGGGAAUUAGGAUUGCAGUUGCGUUUCUCGCUGGCAUUUUACUACGCAGCUUGGCACUGCAAUGACUAAGUAUCUUAUAAUGAAGUGCAUAUUAGCAGCUGCUGUAGGUAGCAGCUAUAAAAGCGUCGCGACGUUUUCUUUUCGGGGUGGAGUCUUAUCCAGCGUAAUUGAUAUGGAAUUUGAAAUGCAUACGAAGAUCAUUAGACAACAAUGAAAUAUCAUAUCGAGUUUAACGACGUCUUAAGGUGGCAUUAACGAUUGUCAUAAUAGAGAAAUUAAUUUAAGACAGUCUAAUUGCAUUACUAUAAUGUUUAAAUUAUGUUUAAAAAUA